rnacentral:rRNA from 1 species
GUCAAGUCAUCAUGGUCCUUACGUCCAGGGCUACACACGUGCUACAAUGGCCGGGACAAAGUGUUGCGAAGCCGCGAGGUGGAGCCAAUCACAAAAACCCGGUCCAAGUUCGGAUUGCAGUCUGUAACUCGACUGCAUGAAGCUGGAAUCGCUAGUAAUCGUGGAUCAGCUACGCCACGGUGAAUCCGUUCCCGGGCCUU